rnacentral:rRNA from 1 species
ACGGCCCUACGGGAGGCAGCAGUGAGGAAUAUUGGUCAAUGGGCGGGAGCCUGAACCAGCCAAGCCGCGUGAGGGAAGAAGGUACAGCGUAUCGUAAACCUCUUUUGUCAGGGAACAAAGGCGGGGACUAGUCCCCGGAUGAGGGUACCUGAAGAAAAAGCAUCGGCUAACUCCGUGCCCGCAGCCGCGGUAAUACGGAGGAUGCGAGCGUUAUCCUGAUUUAUUGGGUUUUAAGGGUGCGCA